CCCCCCUUGUGGUCGGUGUACAGGUGGUGCAUGGCUGUCGUCAGCUCGUGUCGUGAGAUGUUGGGUUAAGUCCCGCAACGAGCGCAACCCUUGUCCCGUGUUGCCAGCAGGCCUUUGUGGUGAUGGGGACUCACGGGAGACCGCCGGGGUCAACUCGGAGGAAGGUGGGGACGACGUCAAGUCAUCAUGCCCCUUAUGUCUUGGGCUGCACACGUGCUACAAUGGCCGGUACAAUGAGCUGCGAUACCGUGAGGUGGAGCGAAUCUCAAAAAGCCGGUCUCAGUUCGGAUUGGGGUCUGCAACUCGACCCCAUGAAGUCGGAGUCGCUAGUAAUCGCAGAUCAGCAUUGCUGCGGUGAAUACGUUCCCGGGCCUUGUACACACCGCCCGUCACGUCACGAAAGUCGGUAACACCCGAAGCCGGUGGCCCAACCCCUUGUGGGAGGGAGCUUCGAAGGUGA
rnacentral:rRNA from 1 species